UACAUAGGGUGCGAGCGUUGUCCGGAAUUAUUGGGCGUAAAGAGCUUGUAGGCGGUCUGUCGCGUCUGCUGUGAAAAUCCGGGGCUCAACCCCGGACUUGCAGUGGGUACGGGCAGACUAGAGUGUGGUAGGGGAGACUGGAAUUCCUGGUGUAGCGGUGAAAUGCGCAGAUAUCAGGAGGAACACCGAUGGCGAAGGCAGGUCUCUGGGCCACUACUGACGCUGAGAAGCGAAAGCAUGGGGAGCGAACAGG
rnacentral:rRNA from 1 species